UCUCCGUUGGUGAACCAGCGGAGGGAUCAUUACUGAGUUACCGCUCUACAACCCUUUGUGAACAUACCUAACUGUUGCUUCGGCGGGCAGAGGUCCCUCGCGGAUCUCUCCCGGUAACGCCCUCACGGGCGGAGCGCCCGCCGGAGGAUACCAAACUCUAUUUUAACGACGUUUCUUCUGAGUGGCACAAGCAAAUAAUUAAAACUUUUAACAACGGAUCUCUUGGUUCUG
rnacentral:misc_RNA from 1 species